rnacentral:rRNA from 1 species
CAGAGCCGCGGUAAUACGGAGGGUGCAAGCGUUAAUCGGAAUUACUGGGCGUAAAGCGCACGCAGGCGGACUGACAAGUCAGAUGUGAAAUCCCCGGGCUUAACCUGGGAACUGCAUUUGAAGCUGUCAGGCUGGAGUCUUGUAGAGGGGGGUAGAAUUCCAGGUGUAGCGGUGAAAUGCGUAGAGAUCUGGAGGAAUACCGGUGGCGAAGGCGGCCCCCUGGACAAAGACUGACGCUCAGGUGCGAAAGCGUGGGGAGCAAACAGGAUUAGAUACCCGCGUAGUCCCUGUCUCUUAUACA